ACAAAUGAAAUAUGAAUGUUGACACAUAAAAAUUCAGCCCAAGUCGAACAGUCCAAGGAGUAAAGCCCAAUGGGAGAAUCCCCAAAACAGACGGCCCAAAUAAUGAAGUCCAAUCAAACGAGUCAAGGUGAAGGCCCAAACAAGAGGCCCAAGAAUGCGGUAAUGCCAUCGCCCAAGUUUGCAAGUCGCUCAGAAUUUGAACGAACGAGUGUCAUACGAUCGCCCAGAGCUGUUGUUCUACUCUCGCCCAAACCUUCAAGUCGCCCAAGGUGUCAAUAAACAUAACGCAUCGUGAUUAUCAAGGAAUGCAGUUAUCAAGGCAGUUGUUAAAGUAACCUUAUCACGUUCCACAACUCAAGGAAGUCAAUCGAAAGCAAUUGGACGAUGAAAGAUAAUGGCAGCAGUUAAAAGGCGGUUUCAUGACAAAAUGACCACUACAAAGAAAGUGGGUAGUUAUAGGACGAUCAAGCAGUUUUCAGAGUAGUUAAUCACAAAGAGAUCGUCU
rnacentral:lncRNA from 1 species